CCCGGGCCUUGUACACACCGCCCGUCACACCACGAAAGUUGGUAACACCCGAAGCCAGUGGCCCAACCCUUUGGGAGGGAGCUGUCGAAGGUGGGAUCAGCGAUUGGGGUG
rnacentral:rRNA from 1 species